ensembl:lncRNA
GGGUUAGGGGUUAGGUGGGUGCUGCUCAUGAUCAUCUUGUCUAGGUGGGUUAGGGGUUAGGUGGGUGCUGCUCAUGAUCAUCUUGUCUAGGUGGGUUAGGGGUUAGGGUUAGGGGUUAGGGGUUAGGUGGGUGCUGCUCAUGAUCAUCUAGUCUAGGUGGGUUAGGGGUUAGGGGUUAGGGGUUAGGUGGGUGCUGCUCAUGAUCACCUUGUCUAGGUGGGUUAGGGGUUAGGUGGGUGCUGCUCAUGAUCAUCUAGUCUAGGUGGGUUAGGGGCUAGGGGUUAGGGGUUAGGUGGGUGCUGCUCAUGAUCAUCUAGUCUAGGUGGGUUAGGGGCUUGGGGUUAGGGGUUAGGGGUUAUGUGGGUGCUGCUCAUGAUCAUCUAGUCUAGGUGGGUUAGGGUUAGGGGUUAGGG